AACCCUAGUUUCCUCCCCCGCUCCUCUCCCCUCUUCCUCCUCAUCUCCCUCUCCGCGACCCCAAUCCCAGCUUCUUCCCCCGGUCCCCAAGAGCCUUCUCGACCAACAGCGGGGUCGAGGGCCGCGGCAAUGGCGAUGGCACCUGGAAGUUCUCGCCGGAGAACGACGAGGUGGGCUCCGUAUUCGGCGAGGAAGAAGGUAGCCUCGCCCGGAUCGCGGAGGGCGGCGAGGCUGCCUUUGGAUAGGAGGCGGCCGCUGGAGCCGCCUUUCUGUGAAUCACUGUCCUAAACUUACGAAACUCACAACUGCUGAUUGAUUUCCCAUGGUUCUCUUGACCCUUAUUGGAGGUAGCCUCCUCUCUCUGCACGAUCGUUAUGCUGCUGUCUUCAGAUGUCCCAUCUAAAGUCUCACCCCAAGUGGAAUCAUAUCAAAAUAACGUUUCCUAACGAAAUAUUAGUUGUUCUCUGAUAACCGUUCUGUUCUUUAGUUCCUUUAAAUACUGAUUUGCUACAUUAAGAAACAUAGGAUCCUGUAUGUGCCACAAUUGACAGAAUGAUGUGGCUGAAUAACUGUAAUUUUUUUUUAAAAAAAAGACCUUUGGGUUUCAUGGCAAUGGCAGGAUACUGUUUAGAUAGCCUGAAAUUUCACGCACUAUUUUUUUUAAAAAAAUGUUUAUUAAUAAUAAAAUAUGGCCAUCAAUCUGUCGACUCGCAAACUAGGGGAAAUUAUGAUAAAUUACUGCGAUCAAAUGUUAUCUUGGAGAUGAGAAUAAUUUAACAAAUCUAACCUAAAUAAGUGGUGCACGAAUCGAACAGCGAAACAUCUGAUGACCCAACGUAGCCGUUUAAAAGCGCUCAUCUUGUAGGUACGAACGGUUCCGAAUGGUCCGCAAGUCUGAAAUUAAUAAACCGCUUGAGAUUGUUGUUCGUGGGCGUUGCUUCUCCCUUGUCAUUGGUGCACCGCGGCGACGGCGAGAGACCACCAACCGUCGUCGCCGUCGUUGGACCCAAGAGAGAGAAGCGAGGGAGGACAAUAUAAUAAUCUAACGAGUUUUCUUUUUCUAUCUCCAUUCCUCUCCUCUCUUUUCAAUCUAAGUUCGGAUCAAAAAAACCCAUCUCCAGGUUGCUUCCAUGUCCUUCUCCCUCUUCAAGAAUUCUAUUUUUGAUUGAUGUUUGAAUCUCUAGGGUUUUCGUUCUCUAGGGGUCUUAUACUUUUAUUCACUACGAGUGACUACUUGCACCAUUGUUGUUAGUUCUGUACGGUUUCUCUUGCAUCGCACCUUCUCUACGUUCAGCUCUUCUCAUGUUUUCUUGAAUGUCGUGACCCAUUUUAGGGUUUGGUCGUACGAUCUCCUGCUGACUGAUUAGGUUUAAUUUUAAUCGAAAUCUCAAUCACAUGUUUGCUUUCUAGUUUUCCCCUUGGAUUCAAGCUAAUUUGAAUUCACAGCUGAAAUAUCCACGCAUUGUUCGAUCUAAUUCCGAUUGGCAGAGCAAAGAUUUAGUGCUGGAAAGAUGGUCGGCGGUCCAUGGCUUCAGGCCUCCUCUUGUAAGUCUUUGAUUUCACCUUUUCAUAAUUCUCAAAAUUUUGUCCCCCAUCUUCCCACCAAACCUUCAAAGAAACUUUGUCAAGUAACGGCAAGUUCUGGCCCUUCUGGGGGCGCGGGUCGGAAUCCAUCAUCUUCUCCAAGAGGAAGGAACCCGCUGGCACUUGUGCUUGAAGUUCCUGGGACCAUCUGGAAGCAAACUUUGCGACCACUUAGUGAUUUUGCGUUUGGUCGGAAAAGCAUCUGGGAGGGCGGCAUCGGGCUGUUUACGGUGUCCGGGGCAGCUCUUCUUGCCCUCACACUUGUGUGGCUAAGGGGCUUCCACGUGAGGUCAAGGUUCAGGAAAUAUCAUGCCGUGUUUGAAUUCUCGCAAGCUUGCGGGAUUUGCGUGGGAACCCCUGUCAGGAUACGAGGGGUGACCGUCGGAAGUGUGGUUGGUGUCAAUUCAUCUUUGAAAAGUAUUGAUGCAACUGUUGAGUUUGAGGAUGACAAAAUUAUUGUACCUCGUAAUUCUUUGGUUGAGGUGAAUCAGUCUGGCCUUCUUAUGGAGACUCUGAUUGAUAUUACACCACGAGAUCCACUUCCCACACCAUCUGCUGGUCCCCUUGAUCCAGAUUGUGCGAAAGAAGAUCUUAUUGUUUGUGAUAGAGAGAGAAUAAGAGGAGAACAGGGGGUAAGCUUGGAUGAAUUGGUUGGAAUAUUUACCCAUCUUGGACGAGAAAUGGAAGAAAUUGGUGUUUCUAAAAGCUACAGAUUGGCUGAAAAAGUUGCAUCUGUUGUGGAAGAAGCACAACCCCUCCUUGCAAAGAUUGAAGCCUUGGCUGAAAAUAUACAACCUUUGCUUAUCGAGGUUCGUGAUAAUGCUCUGCUGAAGGAUGUGGAGAGUUUAACCAAAACGCUGGCUGAUGCAACAGAGGAUUUGAGGUGAAUUUAGAUGGAAAUCAAGGAUUAGAGAAAUUCAAAUAUGAGUAGAUAAAAACUCUUAUUCAUGAAAGGUGGAGAUGUGCUGCACUUGGUCGAACAUGGUGGUUGCGCAUGUCACUAGCUACUAACCUUAAUGAUCUUGCAGAAAGAUGCAGUCUGCUCUUUUAACUCCUGAGAAUGGUGAACUAAUCAGGCAGUCUAUUUUUGCUUUUAUAUUCACACUGAAAAAUAUUGAGAGUAUAAGCUCUGACAUCUCAGGCUUCACGGGUGAUGAAGCUGCAAGGCUGAAUCUGAAGUUGUUAAUAAAGUCUCUUAGCAGACUCUUGUGAAGUUUGCUGAAGCCAACUGUGUUUGGUUCCAGCUGGACUACUUCUUUAAGCUUUUAACAGCAGAAAGUUACAUAUGGGAGGGGAAGCAGGAAGAAGCACCAGGCACAUGUACAGGUCUCGGAUCUGUAGUAUGAAAGAGAGAACUAAGACACAUAAUCUGUUUCUCUAAAGAAUAAAAAAAGAAAUUUUGAUUAGUUUUUUAUUUCAUUAUUGGAAUUGUCAAUCUUUGUGGGAAUGACUUUGAUUAGUCAUGUAUAAUUUGCCCUUCUUUUCAUA